ACGGGUGAGUAACACGUGGAUAACCUACCUAUAAGACUGGGAUAACUUCGGGAAACCGGAGCUAAUACCGGAUAACAUAUUGAACCGCAUGGUUCAAUAGUGAAAGGCGGCUUUGCUGUCACUUAUAGAUGGAUCCGCGCCGUAUUAGCUAGUUGGUAAGGUAACGGCUUACCAAGGCAACGAUACGUAGCCGACCUGAGAGGGUGAUCGGCCACACUGGAACUGAGACACGGUCCAGACUCCUACGGGAGGCAGCAGUAGGGAAUCUUCCGCAAUGGGCGAAAGCCUGACGGAGCAACGCCGCGUGAGUGAUGAAGGUCUUCGGAUCGUAAAACUCUGUUAUCAGGGAAGAACAAGUGUGUAAGUAACUGUGCACAUCUUGACGGUACCUGAUCAGAAAGCCACGGCUAACUACGUGCCAGCAGCCGCGGUAAUACGUAGGUGGCAAGCGUUAUCCGGAAUUAUUGGGCGUAAAGCGCGCGUAGGCGGUUUUUUAAGUCUGAUGUGAAAGCCCACGGCACAACCGUGGAGGGUCAUUGGAAACUGGAAAACUUGAGUGCAGAAGAGGAAAGUGGAA
rnacentral:rRNA from 1 species